GGAGAGAUGGCUGAGCGGUUUAAGGCGACAGUUUGCUAAAUUGUUAUAUUAUUAUUAUUUAAUAUCGUAGGUUCGAAUCCUAUUCUCUUCU
rnacentral:tRNA from 1 species